GACGAACGCUGGCGGCGUGCUUAACACAUGCAAGUCGAACGAAGAGCGAUGGAAGCUUGCUUCUAUCAAUCUUAGUGGCGAACGGGUGAGUAACGCGUAAUCAACCUGCCCUUCAGAGGGGGACAACAGUUGGAAACGACUGCUAAUACCGCAUACGAUCUAAUCUCGGCAUCGAGGAUAGAUGAAAGGUGGCCUCUACAUGUAAGCUAUCACUGAAGGAGGGGAUUGCGUCUGAUUAGCUAGUUGGAGGGGUAACGGCCCACCAAGGCGAUGAUCAGUAGCCGGUCUGGGAGGAUGAACGGCCACAUUGGGACUGAGACACCGCCCCGACUCCUACGGGGGGCAGCAGGGGGGAAUCUUCCGCAAUGGACGAAAGUCUGACGGAGCAACGCCGCGGGAGGGAUGACGGCCUUCGGGUUGUAAAGCUCUGUUAAUCGGGACGAAAGGCCUUCUUGCGAAUAGUGAGAAGGAUUGACGGUACCGGAAGAGAAAGCCACGGCUAACUACGUG
rnacentral:rRNA from 1 species